rnacentral:lncRNA from 1 species
UUUUUUUUUUUUUUUUUUUUUUUGGCUGUGCCUGCAGCAUGUAGAAGUUCUCAGGCCAGGGAUUGAACCUGUUCCACAGCAGGGACCAGGGCUGCUGCAGUGAUAGUGCCAGAUCCUUAAUCUGCUGGGCCACAAGGGAACUCCAGCAUCUUUAUCUUUUACCAUUUCCUUGGGGGUACCAAGAAAGCCACUUAGCUGCCACUUAGCUUCAUUAAAGCCAACCUUGUAACCAUUCCACGCUUCCACCUAGCCAGUGUCUGUCCUGCCAUUGCAAGUCUAUUUCCACCCCGCCACCGCUGCCCCCCACCUAGCAGCAGGUACAUUACGUCCUGCUUUAGAAGCCCAGUUCUAGGUAGAUAGCGGGCCAUCAAUGAUCUAUCAGCUAGAUCAUUCUGACUCCUGAAACUUUUCCUCCCCAGUUUUCCAUUUAUCUCUUAACUCCCCUUUUAAAGCUCUCGUAAACAUAUUUUCUUCUGUUAAUGAUUUUUGAAGCCCGUAAGUUUUGCCUCUGGAAAUUUAGAAAAGUCGACAUUUACUUGGUGCCAGUCCUGGGGGCUGUUAUCAACCACAGUGAGCCAAGUCUUUCGUCUUUUCCUCAGCAUUCCUUCAAUACAACCGCCACUUCAAUAAUCUGCUCUUAUUAAUAGCAGUCUUUGUAAAUAAAACAGUUAUAAAGGAUUCUUUAGCUGUCUCCCAAGUAUUUUACAUCAGGUCCUGAAAUUAAAUUGAUUUUACACCAGAAUUCCACGUUCUUUUUCCAGCACUCUCCCCCCCACACACUGCUCCUCCCCUCACCCCAUUCAAAACAUUAUUAAAUGUUACGGUAUCUUGGCAUGUCAAAAACUCAUCCUUUGUUUGCUGGAAACAACAACCACUGGGGCAUUGCAAGCAAAAUUUAAAUGGUAACAUGGGAGUUCCCACUGUGGCUCAGGGGUAAUGAACCUGACUAGCAUCCAUGAGGAUGUGGGUUUGAUCCCUGGCCCUGCUCAGGGGGUUGAGGAUCCCUCGUUGCAUUGAGCUGUGGUGUAGGUUGCAGAUGAGGCUUGGAUCUAGGUGUGACUGUGGCUGUGGCGUAGGCUGGAAGCUGUAACUCCAGUUCAACCCCUAGCCUGGGAGCCUCCAUAUGCAGCAGGUGCGGCCCUAAAAAGAAAAAAGAAUUAAAUAGCAACAAACCAGAGAACUGGAAGGAAUCUUCUAUUGCUGGAGUCCUAUCUGCACCCAGGCAGUAGAGAUGUGGCUUCAGGCAGGCUCACAGCCCAGCCUGGGCAAGCUGGAGGCAGAGAAGAGGCAGCAGAAAUAACUGUCAGCAAACCCUGCUUGGUCUCAGAGGAAUACAGCCAGGAGCACAAAGGAAAUGAGUCCUACCACUGGGCUGGAUAGGUGUGCUAUUCUUGGCCUUUAAAUCUUCCAUGGAAAAACAGUUGAGAAAGUUCUGUGAAAGCCGGUUCCACGGAGAAUAGUCCUCUUCCAUAGAUGCCUUUGUACUCAGAGUUUCAGGGACUCUGCUAGAUUUUUCCCUUCCGUGGAGUGAAGGAGGGAAUACAAAACUAUCAAAAAGUGGUUUGGUUCAUUUACAAAAGUCUUGGGGGGGGUUUCGUAACAGAAAAACCCUUAGAAAGUAACCCCGAAGUAGGUCAGGUACAAAAAUAGUAACCAGCUCAAUUCACUUUUAACUGCUUAGGUUUUACUCUGGAGGCUGCCAUUUGGUUGAUGGGUAACCUCCACAUGUGGGCUUUUACUGAUAAGCCCCCAAGGAGAGUUCCACCUCUUUCUUCCCCUCUCCAACCCCUGCUUCUGGCACUCUAUGCUGUUUAACAGAAGUAACAGCUAGUUCACGAGAAAAAAACAAAAAAAAAAAAACCCACAAAAACAAAACCAAAACCCCAGAACAGCCAAUACUGGGCAUCUACUGAACUGUGCUUGGUGUAGCUGAGACACAUUCUCCACCCUCAAAUAAUUCACCAUCUGGCAUAAAGAAAGACAUGCAAAGAGAUAUUAGGAAUACAGUAAGAGGUGCUAUGUCUAUGCAGCGUUAUUCUGGGCCAGGAAGAAAGAAACGGUCCAUUCCUCCUGCAGAGCUGGAGAGGCUUCCCUGGCUGGUCUUGAGAGAUGGAGGGGACUUCUUGAAGCAGAGUCUCAUCUUGUAUAUGUGUGCAAGUGUGUAAGUGUUUGUGUAGGGGGGUGGCUGCAAGCAAAACCAGCAGCCAGCAUGAGACCUUCAGGACCUGAACUAACUUAGUCUGUUGGAGGACUGACCAGUAGUUUAAAAUUGCUGGCGCGUAGGUUGUGUGAGAGAACGGAGCAGGAGAGAAGCCUGGAGAGGUGAGCAGGGUCCAGACUGUGGAGGACUUGGAUACCAUUCUAAGGGCUUGGACUUUAUCCCGCAGGCGGUCGGGAGACACUGCAGGGUUUGAAGCAGGGAGGUGGCAUGAUCAGAUUUGUGCUUGGAAAGAUUUUUCUGGUAGUACCAGAACCGUGGGAUAAGCUUUCACAGUCAGUGCAUUUGCCAAAGCUUUUCUGAUCAGCUUAUCGAAUUCAGAAUCUCAAGACAUCUACGUUUUCCCACAUAGCUUUGACAUGGCAUGCCGAUUUAUUUUCUUCCUUUUUUGUGCACACACAUGCAUGUCUGCAUCCCCAUUAUAAUCCCAAUUAUCCACUCCUUCCCCCCAAACAGAGGCUUUUAAAUUGCUGGGUAUGAUGGAAAACUGGGAUUGGGACAGGAUUUUAACAAUCUGUUAGUAUACACGUCCCUGACCUUGGAAGUUGGUUCAGUUUGCUGGGAAGGCACAUGAAUUUUACCCCAUUUUCCUAGGUUUCUUUUUUCUUUCUUUCUUUCUUUCUUGCAUUUUAGGGCAGUACUCACGGAGAUUCCCAGGCUAGGGGUCGAAUCAGAGCUACAGCUGCUGGCCCCAGCCCCAGCCAUGCAGAAUCCCAGCUGUGUCUGCGACCUCCACCACAGCUCAUGGCAGCACUGGAGCCUCAACCCACUGCGCAAGGCCAGGGAUCGAACCCGCAACCUCGUGGUUCCUAGUCCGAUUCGUUUCUGCUACACCACAACGGGAUCUCCUCAGAGACCCGCUUUUGACGCAAUUCCACCAACUAAAGAAAACUUAAGCCACCUGGUUCCCCACCUCACAUGCAAAGACCAGGGCUCUAGAGGAUUCUUAAUUCCAAAUUAAGGAAUAAUUUGGUUUCCACGGUCCAGAUAGUUCCAAUAAAAGAUGUCCCUGUGUCAACAAAUUUCAUCCCUCAAUUUUUGUGGCAAGUCCCUGUCCAUUUGACAUUUGGCAGCUGGUGGUGGACAUGGCAGUAGAGGUGGGGGUGGAGAUGGUGGCGGAGGGGGGGCGGUCGUGAGGGCAAACAGUUGAUCCAGAAACAGGAUGCCAAUCAAACACCUCCUUCAGGAGACAGCAUUUUCCUUAUUCACACAAAGCUUAUGCGUCUAUUUUAUCUGUAAGCCGACCGCCUGGCUGCUGUGAGAAUCAAUUGACGUGAUACUCUUAAGAAAACAUUGCCUGUCACAUAGUAACAGCUCAAAAAGUGUAGGGAAUGAUCUUGUCUUGAUUUCAAAUUCCUACUCCACCUGGGGAAACAGGGUUCAAGGAAGGAUGAAGGCGUGCACAGAAAUUUGUCUAGAAGAGGAGGGAGUGAGAACCGAAUCUGCUUGAGGCUGGCUUUCCUCUCCCCCCUCCCCCCAGCAACCUCUGUCUCCAACAACCGGUCCACAGCCAGCUUGCGGCAGAAACCAGAGCACAGACUGCAGGGGCCGGGUGAGUAGAGGCCAGACAACACUCCACCUGUCUGAGCUGGUUAUCACCAAACCGCAGGUGAGAACCCGGGAAAUAAGCCCUGCCCUAAAACACAGCAGCACCGGCCUUGCGGAGAAAAUUUCAUUUUCAAAUUAAGAAGCCUGAAUGUCCAUGGUCUGGACGGCAGGGGCUGAUGCAACACAACCUCCUCAAGAAAAAGAAAGCAUUUGUCUCCAAGUGCAAUUUAAAACCUUUAAAGCCUUUUCUUAUUUCUC